AGCGUCUUUGAACUCAUACAUACAAAGAAGAGGAAUAGAUUAGAACAUCAUAGGCUUAAUGAUCUUGUGUAUGUUCAUUACAACUUGCGAUUGAAGAAUAGGAGGUAUUACAAAACAAGGAAUUAUGAUCCCAUUGACAUUGAAAGCAUUGACAAAAUCGAGUUUUGGAUUAUUGAAGAAGAAAGACUAGAACAAGAGGAGCCUCCAUUGCUUGAUUAUGAUAA